AAUCAACGCUGACGGCGUGCCUCAGACAUGCAAGUCGAACGCGAAAGUUCCCUUCGGGGGAUAAGUAGAGUGGCGUCCGGGUGAGUAACACGUAGGUAAUCUACCUUUGGGUGGGGAAUAACAACCGGAAACGGUUGCUAAUACCGCAUAAUGCAGCGGCACCACAUGGUGACAGUUGUUAAAGCGGGGGAUCGCAAGACCUCGCGCCUAAAGAGGAGCCUGCGGCGGAUUAGCUAGUUGGAGGGUAACGGCCUACCCAAGGCAACGAUCCGUAGCCGGCCUGAGAGGGCGGACGGACACACUGGGACUGAGACACGGCCCAGACUCCUACGGGAGGCAGCAGUGGGGAAUUGUUCGCAAUGGGCGCAAGCCUGACGACGCAACGCCGCGUGGAGGAUGAAGACCUUCGGUC
rnacentral:rRNA from 1 species